GCAGUGUACCCGCGGCAAGACGGAAAGACCCCGUGAACCUUUACUAUAGCUUGACACUGAACAUUGAGCCUUGAUGUGUAGGAUAGGUGGGAGGCUUUGAAGUGUGGACGCCAGUCUGCAUGGAGCCGACCUUGAAAUACCACCCUUUAAUGUUUGAUGUUCUAACGUGGACCCGUGAUCCGGGUUGCGGACAGUGUCUGGUGGGUAGUUUGACUGGGGCGGUCUCCUCCUAAAGAGUAACGGAGGAGCACGAAGGUUGGCUAAUCCUGGUCGGACAUCAGGAGGUUAGUGCAAUGGCAUAAGCCAGCUUGACUGCGAGCGUGACGGCGCGAGCAGGUGCGAAAGCAGGUCAUAGUGAUCCGGUGGUUCUGAAUGGAAGGGCCAUCGCUCAACGGAUAAAAGGUACUCCGGGGAUAACAGGCUGAUACCGCCCAAGAGUUCAUAUCGACGGCGGUGUUUGGCACCUCGAUGUCGGCUCAUCACAUCCUGGGGCUGAAGUAGGUCCCAAGGGUAUGGCUGUUCGCCAUUUAAAGUGGUACGCGAGCUGGGUUUAGAACGUCGUGAGACAGUUCGGUCCCUAUCUGCCGUGGGCGCUGGAGAACUGAGGGGGGCUGCUCCUAGUACGAGAGGACCGGAGUGGACGCAUCACUGGUGUUCGGGUUGUCAUGCCAAUGGCACUGCCCGGUAGCUAAAUGCGGAAGAGAUAAGUGCUGAAAGCAUCUAAGCACGAAACUUGCCCCGA
rnacentral:rRNA from 7 species